UCAUUCAGUUUACUCUCAAUUAAUUUUGCUUGUCCAAUAGCUUGAGAAAUUGUUACAGGUUUCAAAAGUGCUAGUUCUUUCUUAAUAUCACCAUGUAACCCAGAAAUAAAACAAUUCAUCAUUAUUUCAGGUGAAACCCCAACUACCUGAUUGGAGAUCCGUUCAAACCGAGUCUGAAAUUCUGCAACAGUGGAAGUUUGUCUGAGUUUGAAAAGCUCUUGCUGAUGGUUCUCAUAAGCAGAGGGCCAAA
rnacentral:lncRNA from 1 species